ACAAAACCCGGAAGGACCCAGCCGAAGGUUUUCUCCGGUUCGGGCAAGAGACGGGGUCCCGCUCUGUCACCCAGGCUGCCAGACUGGCGUACAGUGGUGCAAUCUCAGCUCACUGCAACCUGCACCUCCUGGGUUCAAGUGAUUUUCUUGUCUCUGCCUCCUGAGUAGCUGGGAUUACUGGCACACACCACCAUGCACUGUUCCUUGUUCAAAAUGCCAAGAACCUGGAUGACUCAGAGUCAAGACCCUCCACCAGUAACAUAUAUUGGCGAGCCAGCCAGGAGCUUGGAACCCUCGGUGGACAGUGCCUAAGCACAGAGGCAACCACAGGUUUCUAACCAGGGCCACUCUCCGGUGAAACUGAAAGGUUUCUGUGUGAAAGUGCCUGACCACCACUGCCCGGUUCGGUUGCGGGAAUUUAGCCAAUUCAGAGGUCUUGUUCUCCAUAAUCUGGAACUUUCCUUCAGAUUUGAUCAAGUUGGAUAAAGUUGGUCAAACCCAAUGGGAAAAAGAUGAAAACAACAAGAAACAGAAACAAACAACAACAACAACAACAAAACA
rnacentral:antisense_RNA from 1 species